rnacentral:misc_RNA from 1 species
UAUAGAGAAUACCGUUUCCACGAAAACGGUCAAAUCCAAAGCGACUGUCUGAACAUCUCUUUUUGAAAAUGGGUAUAAUUCUGCUGGGUCAGUAGUUCAGUUGGUUAGAAUGCCGCUCUGAUACAGCGGAGGUCGAAGAUUCGAGUUCUUCCUGACCCACCACUUAAAUUGAUGAGGUUGGAAUCAAAAACAAAUACUUGUUUUUGAUUCCAGAUGUUCUGAUGAAUAUCUUCGGAAUCUGCUUUUAUUAGCAAUCAUUGUAAAUCGGUUUUUAAUGUCGUAAAUCAAACUUUAUGGAAACAUGACUUUUGAUUUAUUGAACAUCGUAAUCUCAAAAAUCUUUCUAAAUAGAGUAAUCACGAAAGUAAUAAUUCAAUUAGAGAAGCAAGAAUCAACUUAAAUGCUUAAAAAACUCAUUAAGUUCUUUUGAUUGUGUUUGAAGACUUUCUCUUCAAGCAUAAGAUAAAAAGUAACAAAGGGUGUUUAGUGGAUGCCUUGGCAAUCAGAGGCGAUGAAGGACGUGAAAGACUGCGAUAAGUCCGGGUGAGGCGUCAAUAUCCUUUGACCC